GACGCCAUGAUUCCCAUUAGCAAUAGACGCCUUCAUUGUAUCUCCUCAAAGGCGUCUCUAAACAAAUUGCAAAUUAUCUUCUUUUUAAGAGUUGCAUCCUUUCACACUCAUCAUCUUCAAUUAAGAGUCCUAUAUUUUCAGAAUUUUAUACAUUGAAGGGAUUAAGUAGGUUUUCAGAAUUGUUUCAAGUUUUCUCUUAUUCUACUUUCGAAUUCUUAUCCAUCUCCGAUUCCGCUGCACAUAAUUUUUCCUCUCGCCCUUUCUCCUUAGGUAUGUUGAAAACUCAGAUCCAGCAUCACCCUUACGACAGUGCUGAUCACAACACUUUGUCGACAAGGAACACGAACAUCUCAUCCAUGUCCCAACGGUUGUUGGCAUAGACUCAACCAUUGAGCCUUCUAACAAGGUCGCAAUCGCGUCUAUACGAGAGCAAAGGAAGAGACCAUUACAAGAUGAGGAUGGGCUGGUUUCCUUACAAUUUUUCAGAAAAAAAGAGAAACAAGUUGCUAUGAAAAAAAAGAAUGGUAGCUUUUGGAAAAUAUCUGCAGUGAAAGCAAAUUGAAAAAUUGAGAGGCUAUUACGUCAAUUACAUGUUGAUGAAGAAGAAAGUGAAGCAAUAUGCUGAACGGAUAGGAGGUGGAUCUCAAUAUCCUCGUCAUGUUCAGAAAGAUUUCUCGAGGACGCUUGAUACUCAAGUAUUUUAUUGCUGUAGUGUAGACCAUUGUCAGGAUGAUUUUGUUUGAAUUUUUAUUGUGCAUGCAUCUGUAAGUUAAAAAUGGCUUCAUGCGUACAAGUAACCAAAAUCCUGUGUUUAUCACUGAAACCUACCCAGGGCGAUUAGCCAGGUAAAUACAUCAUGAUGAUCGUAAGCAGCUUGAUAUAUAAAAAAUUGUCGAGGUACGAGAAUCAUACAGAGAUAUUGGACGAGAUAUUUUACAGCUUCUGGUAUUCGUUGAGUUGAAGGCCAUUGGUCUGCGCAAGAUAGAAUAUGACAAACGGUUUGGCUAUUGAUUUGGCGACUACUACAUGAAAACCCGUGCUAAUCAUCCUUACUCACAGCUUCAGAAAGUGUUUGAGCUUAUGUGAACCCGUCUUGUGUUUUUGCACAUCGUCCACGUCCCUUCCACGCCCUCUUCCUCUUUCCCUUCCACUCGGUUACACUUGCCCUGUCUCCUGCUGCAGUGACCAAAUAGGGAAACCAUCACAUCAAGCGAUUAAACAAAAGUAAGACUUCUUAACUUCUUGGGUAAGCAAGGACUCAACGGUUGCUUGUUCCAAAAGAGAGACAAAAUAGCCAAGGGAUAUAACACCAUCUACAUUGAUUUCUUUAGCUCCUCAUCGCUGUCAUUAGCUUCAUUGACCUUCGCUACAGAGAGGCUACCAACUCUCUUUUUUUUUGUUGCUAAAAGGUCAUAGAUAUGAAAAGAGAUUUACAUAAAAUAGAAUCUUGAGUAUGUUACACCAUGGCAAAAAAAGAAUAAAAAACAUAGUGAUAAUAGGUUGAUCAACGCAUCCACUUGGACGCGAGGCUUAGGAAGUGCUUCCUCUCUCGUCUGCAGUGAUAGUAUUGCGCAUCUCUUUGUAUAUAAGCCGGUAGAUAGAAUCUGGAGGCAAGACAAUGCGGUUGUGCAAGACAUUGUUUCUCUGUUUCUACAAGUGGUAAAUUACAGAUUGUGCACUAGCUUCCUCAAUACAUUGUUUCUCUGUUACAUCGGUGAUUUUGAAAGGAACUUACUCAUACUAUGUGCUUAACUAUCUCUCCUUGAUAAUGUAAAGUGAUAUUCUCUAUUCAUGCUUUAUAAUAUAAAGCCUGAUAAGACUUGGAGGUUUUAUAUCAUACAACUUGAUAAUGUAAAGUGAUAUUCUCUAUUUUCCUAUACUUUUAUAUUAUCUUAAAAACUUAUAUAACGUAGCUCAACUCUUCGACUAUAAAAAUGUCUGAACUGUUGACAAUAAAAGAAAAGUAUGCAUCUUAGAUAUAGCGCCGGUCCGGAUUAAUGUGGUGCUUAAAGCGUACCAAAAAAAGGAUGCCCCUAAUUAUAAAAACAAAUUUAUAUAUUUAAAUUAUUAAAAAUACUAUUAAAAUUAUAUUAUUUUCAAAUAAAUAAAAUAAAAAACAUCAAAAUAUUAUUUUUGAAAAAAAAUAAUUCUAGCUUUUUCUAGAAACUAAUUUCCUAAUUUCAGUAGUAUUUUUUUUAAAAUCCAAAAGUUAUUAACUAUAUAGUAGAAAAAAACAUAUGAUAAAAUCAUGUAUAUAUCAAUUUCACCUUUUUAGUUUUUUGAAUUACAAAAGUUUAUAUAAUAUGACAAGAAAUUACCAAAAAAAAAGAUAAAAAGAAAAAUUGAAAGAAUAAUUGUUUUGGCCGAGGGAAGAGUUAAUUUUGGUAACAUCAUUUUUUAACAAAUAAGAGGGCAUGGAGAAUAAAAAAGAGAGUUUUUUGUCAACCUUUGUGAAAAGAGAAUUACAAAAAAAAUAAAAAUGAAAGGGCUCAUAAAUGAUGUUACCAAACGCCUCCGUGAAAGAGAAUCAUAUUUAUAAUUAGAAAAGGAAAAUUGUUAUAAAAAUUAAGAUAGAGGGAUGUGACCUUCGAACACGGUUCCUUAAAGACAGAAGGUUAAGAACACAAACCACCAGACUAAAACAGACUUUGAGAAAAUUUGGUGCCUCUGGUAUAAGUAUGUUCUCUGGCGUCCAAAGUCCAUGCUUUACGGGCUUUAGCCUAGGGCCGGACCUGCUUACAUAUGUAUGUUUUAUGAAUAAAUAAUAAGUAUUUUCAGAACACAAACUUAUUAUUUCAUAUCACUCUAUCAACAUGUUUGUAUCAUAGUUAUAUAUCUUUAAUACUGUUGAAUUGAUAUGUGGAGUGCAAGCAUGUACACUGGUAUGAACUCUUUUCACAUAUAUAUUGAAUAUAGUUAAUUUUAAUAUUUCCAUCCAAUAUCUCUAUUUUACUAUUCAUUAUACAAUUGCAAUAGUGUGCCAUUCACGAACGCAAAAAUUUGAGAUAAAAUUUGAAUUUCAUAUUAAAGUAAGAUAUUGUUAUUAGAGUAUACUAGCUGUUUCUGAUGAUACAGGUAUCUAAUAUCAUGUUUGGUUCCUGGGAGCUAUCGUGAAACAAAUUUUCAUCAUUAACAAACAUGUUUAGUUUGCAACACUCUCUUUAUUGUAAAAGUGUCCUGAAAAUUUCUUGAUAGGAUAUCAACAAUUCUUUAUUAAUUGGCUCAUUAUCUUUUAAAUUUCUAAUAUUUAAAAGUACUAUAAAUGAAAUAAAAAAAUCUGUUGCUGUUCUGAUUUAGUUCUUUUGGUUUAGAAGUUUAGCAUCGGUUUGGGUAUUUAGAAAAUUCAGUUUGGUUUCGGUUCUCGGUUCGUUUUAGGUAACAAAGUUAGGAACCAACUAAUAUCCAAAAUAAUUUGGAUCCUAUUAAGUUCUUGUUCGUUCCGGUUUUUUAGUUAAUUCAAGUAAAAAGUUAGAAAUUUAAGUUUUUUGAUUAAAUAUCAGAUUUUUUGUAUUUUUGGAUAAAAUUUUAGAUAAUUCGAAUAUUUUUAAUUAUUUCUGACAAAAAGUAUUAUGGUUAUUCAAUUUUUUGAGUAUUCCAGCUUAUAAAAAGUAUUUUUCAAUUAUUUUAUUAUUUUAAAAAUAAAUAUAGUUAAUAUUUAUAAGUGUAUAAAUUAUAUUAUAGAAAUUUUGGUAGUGAUUCGGUUCUUGACUUGGUUUUAGUUUGGUUCCCAAUCAGCUCUGGUUUUCAAGAUAUAUGAUCUUUUUGGAUAAUUUGUAAGAUCUAAACUUGAACUUACUCACAGCUCCAGAAAGUGUUUGAGCAUGUGGUAAUUAAAUAAAGAUUUCUUACCGUUGUUUCAUCUAUAUGCUGUUUUGACGACUCUAACAUGUUCUGUGUAUAGUGAAACCGUCUUGUGUUUUUGCACAUCGUCCACGUCCCUUCCACGCCCUCUUCCUCUAUCCCUUCCACUCGGUUACACUUGCCCUGUCUCCUGCUGCAGUGACCACGGAAUAGGGAAACCAUCACAUCAAGCGAUUAAACAAAAGUAAGACUUCUCUUAAUUUCUUGGGCAAGCAAGGCUCAUCGGUUGCUUGUUCCAAAAGAGAGACAAAAUAGCCAAGGGAUAUAACACCAUCUACAUUGAUUUCUUUAGCUCCUCAUCGCUGUCAUUAGCUUCAUCACCCGUAGGCUCCCUAGCUAAUCAGAACAGAAAAUCAGGUUGACAAAGGAGUCCAGAAACAUGAACCAAGAACAUGGAAAGCAAAUAAAUAAUUAAAAGUUUUGUAUGUGUCUACACACAUUUUUGUAGCAACUUUUCUCUGAUUUGCUUCUUGUGAACCGGUAAUUUUUUCUACUUCUGCUACUUUAUAUUAUCCUUCUGAAGCAUUCACUAAAUUUACCAACUGAGACGUACAUGUUGUAAUUGACCAUUCAAGAGCAAUAGUUCCUAUGAAACGUUGUAACCACUUCUAUGUAAUUGGACAUGCAUUAAUUAAGGUGAAACCUCUGAUGUUAGCAAUAUGAGUUUUGGAGAGGUAUUAGAGAAGAACUAGAAGGGAGGAGACUUCUUCGAGGCAUGGAUAAGAAGGGAUUUUUAUAAAAAUAUAUCAACUAUUUUGAUGAAAAAUAUAAACAAUUUAUCUCUUCCUUUACAGUUGAUCAAAGUUAUCUAGGCAAGGUCUAUAUUCGAUACUUACCUCACAGAAAGAUCUGCACUGAAAUAAGGAAUGACUUUUAGAUUUCAAUAACCUUUUAAUGAGCUUUUCAAAAGAAUUUUUUUCUUUAUUUCACUGUCUAGAUGUAUGUUUUGUUCUUGCCGACUUACCAUCUAUCUUAUAUUAAUUUAAAUGUUUUUUUUGCUAUGUAUGUUAAUAUCAUAUAAAUGGAAAAAGAGCUUACAAGAAUAGUAGUCCUAAGAACAUACUUCCAAGGCAAAAAAGGUAAAAACAAGCAAAUCAUGUAGAAUUACGUUACAGAAAGAGAUUUAUCCCCUCAUACACAAUUAUCAUUUUUAUUGAGCAAUGUCUCUGCAAUUUUUUUUCUUUGAUUUCCGUGCUUGCUCCAUUGUUAUAGGAAAAUAAAUCAAUUCAGUGGUUGUUUAUUUUAAGAGAUACAACUUUUUAAUGGUUAUGAGUAGGAGGAGACAGAGGUUGAGUUUUCUUUCUGGCCAAUAAACAAUCACCAACUCAUUUUGCUUUUUUUCUCAGAUUAUUUAUAGAUUCCGACUUCUUUCACCUUUGAAAUUAAUAAUUCCUCAAAACAAUUGAAAUGUAGUUAGUUAUAAUGUCUUUCUACUCGAGACUCAUUGACUUGUUUGUAUACAUUUGUUGUAACUCCUAAAUUAUUCUUUUUGUAAACUGUAUAUGAGACAUGCAAAAGAAUUGGUGAAAAUCUAAAUUUUCAAAAUUAGCAUUUUUUUUUGUAAAUAUAUGAGUUUGAUGUGUUUUUAACGUCAACAUUAUAUAUGUAUAAA